GGUCUGAUUCGCACAGCUUCCCUCGGUCCUUUCACAGAAGUGCUCUGAAAUGAGGAAUGACCAUUUUAACAGCCUCUGAGAUGCUGUAUUAUGAAAUGCGUCAGCUGGGGAGCAAGAAGAAGAGAUGGAAGCAGAGGAGCAGGAAGAGAAUUGUCGGUUUGAUUUGGAGAAGAUGAAGAUCACAGAGGGAGGAAAUAUGGAAACUAUGAGAUUCUGCAGGAAGAUCCUGAUGAAGAAAUGGAGCAGCCUAGAACAUUAUCAGGCAGCAGAUCCAAAGGGAAUAUUUCAUAGCCCUGAGGAGAGAGACACCUCUGAUGGUAAGCACAUCUGUGGAGAAGACAGGCUGACCACCUGCACUGAGUAUGGGAAGAGCUUCAGUUGGAGCUCAUAUCUUGCUGCACAUAAGAGCAUCCACACGGGGAGAGACCCUUCCAAUGUGCUGAAUGUGGAAAAGGGUUCACCAACAGAUCAACUUGCAACCAGCACCAGAGAACCCACACCAGGGAGCAGCCCUACAGCUGCAAAAUGUGCGGGGAAAGCUUUGGCUUCAGAUCAGCGCUCAGCAAACACUUGAGAACCCAUACAGGGGACAGGCCAUGCAAAUGCAUUGAGUGUGGGAAGAGCUCUGCCCUCGUCGAGCACAAGAGUACGCACAGUGGGGAACGGCCCUAAAAGUGCGGAGAGUGCGGGAAACGCUUCCAGCGGAACUUGCAUGUCACUAAACACCAGAGAAUUCACACAGGAGAAAAACCCUAUACAUGUGAAGAGUGGGAGAAAGGGUUCACGGAGCGUUCGUACCUUACUAACCAUCUGAGAAUCCACACUGGGGAGAGACCCUUCACAUGCAGGGUAUGCAAGAAGAGCUUCAAUCACAGCUCCACUCUCUUCAAACAUCAGAGGAGAACCCACACAGACCCUUCCUACGUGCUGAGUGUAGGAAGGGCUUCCGUGGGAGCUCAGCUCUUACUUGGCAUCUGAGAAUGCACACGGGAGAGAGACCCUACGCCUGCAGGCUUUGCAAGAAGAGCUUCAGUCAGAGGUCACAUCUUGUUGUACAUCAGAGGAUCCACACGGGGGAGAGACCCUUCCCAUGCACUGAGCGUGGGAAAAGGUUUGCAGAGAGUUCUACGUUCAUGUAGCACCAGAGAAUUCACACUGGGGAGUGGCUCUAUAGCUGUAAAGAGUGUGGGAAGAGAUUCAGGUUCAGUUUCACACUCACCAAACACCAGAGAACUCACACAGGGGACAGGCUGUGCAAACGCACCCAGGGUAGGAGAAGCUUGAGAAAUGCCUCCUUCUCCAUGGAGCACCAGAGAAUCCACAGCAGAGAGUGGCCCUAUGGGUGUGGGAAACACUUCCAGUGGAGUUCAGACAUCACUAAACAUCAGAGAAUCCACAUGGGAGGUAGUCCCUAUAAACAUGAAGAGAGUGGGAAAGGGUUUGCAGCAAGCUCAUACCUCACUAACCACCACAGAACCCAUACCAGGGAGUUGCUCUUCACGCGUGCUGAUUGUGGGAAGAGGUUCAUCAGUAGAUCAAUGUUCAUGCAGCACCAGAGAAUCCAUAGCGGAGAGAGGCCCUACAGCUGUGAAGCGUGUGGGGAAAGCUUCAGAUUCAGCUCAGCGCUCACCAAACACCUGAGAACCCACAUAAGGGACAGGACGUACAAACACACUGUGAGUGGGACAAAUUUUAUCCUUAAACAAUGAACACUCCC